rnacentral:rRNA from 1 species
GACGAACGCUGGCGGCGUGCUUAACACAUGCAAGUCGAACGGAAAGGCCCUGCUUUUGUGGGGUUCUCGAGUGGCGAACGGGUGAGUAACACGUGAGUAACCUGCCCUUGACUUUGGGAUAACUUCAGGAAACUGGGGCUAAUACCGGAUAGGAUCUCCUGCUGCUUGGUGGGGGUUGGAAAGUUUCGGCGGUUGGGGAUGGACUCGCUGGUUAUCAGCUUGUUGGUGGGGUAGUUGCUUACCAAGGCUUUGACGGGUAGCCGGCCUGAGAGGGUGACCGGCCACAUUGGGACUGAGAUACGGACCAGACUGGUACGGGAGGCAGCAGUGGGGAAGAUUGCAGAAUGGGAGGAAGCGUGAUGAAGAAACGCCGCGUGCGGGAUGACGGCCUUCGGGUUGUAAACCGAUUUAGCAUGUGACGAAGAGUGAGUGACGGUAAUGGGUAAAGAAGCACCGGCUAACUACGUG